UGGGGAAUUUUGGACAAUGGGGGGAAACCCUGAUCCAGCCAUCCCGCGUGUGCGAUGAAGGCCUUCGGGUUGUAAAGCACUUUUGGCAGGAAAGAAACGUCGCGGGUUAAUACCCCGCGAAACUGACGGUACCUGCAGAAUAAGCACCGGCUAACUACGUGCCAGCAGCCGCGGUAAUACGUAGGGUGCAAGCGUUAAUCGGAAUUACUGGGCGUAAAGCGUGCGCAGGCGGUUCGGAAAGAAAGAUGUGAAAUCCCAGAGCUUAACUUUGGAACUGCAUUUUUUAACUACCGGGCUAGAGUGUGUCAGAGGGAGGUGGAAUUCCGCGUGUAGCAGUGAAAUGCGUAGAUAUGCGGAGGAACACCGAUGGCGAAGGCAGCCUCCUGGGAUAACACUGACGCUCAUGCACGAAAGCGUGGGGAGCAAACAGGAUUAGAUACCCUGGUAGUCCACGCCCUAAACGAUGUCAACUAGCUGUUGGGGCCUUCGGGCCUUGGUAGCGCGGCUAACGCGUGAAGUUGACCGCCUGGGGAGUACGGUC
rnacentral:rRNA from 1 species